rnacentral:rRNA from 1 species
CCUACGGGAGGCAGCAGUGGGGAAUAUUGCACAAUGGGGGAAACCCUGAUGCAGCGACGCCGCGUGAGUGAAGAAGUAUUUCGGUACGUAAAACUCUAUCAGCAGGGGAGAAAAUGACGGUACCUGACUAAGAAGCCACGGCUAACUACGUGCCAGCAGCCGCGGUAAUACGUAGGGGGCAAGCGUUAUCCGGAUUUAAUGGGUGUAAAGGGAUCGUAGAUGGGAGCGAUAGUCUGGCGUGAAAUCCCAUGGCUUAAACAUGGAAGUGCUUUUGAAACUGUGCAGCUGGAGUGCAGGCGAGGUAAGCGGAAUUCGUAGUGUAGCGGUGAAAUGCGUAGAUAUUAGGAGGAACUCCAGUGGCGAAGGC